UUCUUCGGGGCGGGGUGCGAUUCCCCACCGGCGGUUACAGUCCGCGACCUGCUUUGCGCAGCUGAUUUGGUGAAAUUCCAAAACCGACAGUAUAGUCUGGAUGAGAGAAGAA
rnacentral:ncRNA from 1 species